GUUUGAUCCUGGCUCAGAUUGAACGCUGGCGGCAUGCUUUUACACAUGCAAGUCGAACGGCAGCACGGGGGCAACCCUGGUGGCGAGUGGCGAACGGGUGAGUAAUAUAUCGGAACGUACCCGGAAAUGGGGGAUAACGUAGCGAAAGUUACGCUAAUACCGCAUAUGCCCUAAGGGGGAAAGCGGGGGAUUCGCAAGAACCUCGCGUUUUCGGAGCGGCCGAUAUCGGAUUAGCUAGUAGGUGAGGUAAAGGCUCACCUAGGCGACGAUCCGUAGCUGGUCUGAGAGGACGACCAGCCACACUGGAACUGAGACACGGUCCAGACUCCUACGGGAGGCAGCAGUGGGGAAUUUUGGACAAUGGGCGCAAGCCUGAUCCAGCCAUGCCGCGUGAGUGAAGAA
rnacentral:rRNA from 1 species